UGCGGAAUAAAGUAAUUGGCAACUUAAUAGGCUCAUAACCUAUAAAAUGCAAGUUCAAAUCUUGCUUCCGCAA
rnacentral:tRNA from 1 species